rnacentral:rRNA from 1 species
GGAUCAUUACCGAGUGAAGGGCCUCUGGCCCGGACUCCCAACCCCAUGUGACCCGACACUGUUGCCUCGGGGGCGACCCGGCUCUCCGAGUCGGGGCCCCCGGCGGACCGUUCAACGCUGCAUCUGUGCGUCCGAGUCAAACGAUAAAUCAAUCAAAACUUUCAACAACGGAUCUCUUGGUUCUGGCAUCGAUGAAGAACGCAGCGAAAUGCGAUAAGUAAUGUGAAUUGCAGAAUUCAGUGAAUCAUCGAAUCUUUGAACGCACAUUGCGCCCCUUGGUAUUCCGGGGGGCAUGCCUGUUCGAGCGUCAUUUCACCACUCAAGCCUCGCUUGUUAUUGAGCGCUGCGGUCCGCCGCACGCCCCAAUGUCUCCGGCUGAGCCGUCCGUCUCAAAGCGUUGUGGCAACUCAAUCCGCUUCUGGGACCGGGCGACCCGGCCGUCAAACACCCCACACAAGGUUGACCUCGGAUCAGGUAGGGAUACCCGCUGAACUUAAGCAUAUCAAUAAGCGGAGGAAAAGAAACCAACAGGGAUUGCCCUAGUAACGGCGAGUGAAGCGGCAACAGCUCAAAUUUGAAAUCUGGCGCAAGCCCGAGUUGUAAUUUGUAGAGGAUGCUUCUAGGCAGCGGCCGGUCUAAGUUCCUUGGAACAGGACGUCAUAGAGGGUGAGAAUCCCGUAUGUGACCGGUUGGCACCUAUCACGUAGCUCCUUCGACGAGUCGAGUUGUUUGGGAAUGCAGCUCUAAAUGGGUGGUAAAUUCCAUCUAAAGCUAAAUAUCGGCCAGAGACCGAUAGCGCACAAGUAGAGUGAUCGAAAGAUGAAAAGCACUUUGGAAAGAGAGUUAAAAAGCACGUGAAAUUGUUGAAAGGGAAGCGCAUGCAAUCAGACUUGUUGGCGGUGUUCCGCCGGUCUUCUGACCGGUCUACUCGCCGCUGACAGGCCAGCAUCGUGUGGGUGCGCCGGAUAAAGGUGUCGGGAAUGUGGCCCCUCGGGGUGUUAUAGCCCGACGCACAAUACGGUGCCGCCCGCGCGAGGUCCGC